rnacentral:lncRNA from 1 species
UGCUCCAGAUUAAACCGCUGCACUAUGAAUCCAGCCUUGGCACACACUGUCCAAUUUCUUGCUUCAGUCAGCAAAAAGCCCUCUUAUUGCUUUCGUUCAUAAUGUUGGACAAUGUGAUUAGCCACACUGCUUAUUCAUGUUUUCAUUUCCUCAGCUUGGAGGAAUCACUUGAUUCAUGUAUCCAAUGCAAAGGUGACUGCAGGGUUGUUAGAUAUCUUCACUUUGUCUUGCUGUGAUUGUUGGUGAAUAGGUAGUGAUAAGGAGCUGCCUCAUGGCUUCUCGAGCAGUGCAGAGUGACCUUUCAAGAAAUACUUUUUAGUAAAACAGGCUUUGUUAUCGGUAUCCUGCAAAACACAGGCACACGCAUGUGCACACACAUACAGACACUUGUGAAAUCCAGGCUUUUCGCUCCCUUAUGAAAUACUGAAAUUUAGAGCAUCACAAGAGCAAAUCCCACACCUCUGUCUAGUUUUGUGCUGGAAAAGUUCAUGCUGUGUGACUCCAGAUGACUACACCAGACUGUCUGAAUGCUGAAGCAGUAUGCAGUUCCUAUUCUUCAUACUACUCUUCAUUCCUUUGGUUUCCCGAAGGUAAAUUUCUUUUGUUGUUUUCUUGCACUCUCUCAGGACACUUGCCAUUUGCCUCAUGCUCACCCAGGAGGCCCAGUGGGAAGUCCAACGAAAGCUUUGCUGUGGAUUUUUGGGAUUUCUGAGUGUGUAAUUCACCUAAUUCUCUACCAUGGGUUGCAUUGGACAUGUACAACUAUUUUUUCAAGGCAUUUUCCAGAAAGACGUUAUUUUUUUCUGAAGGGUUUGAUCUAAUGCAGAUCAAAUCUGCAUGUUUCACAGCGGCCAAAAUUUUUUUGUCUAAAAAAAUAGAAAAAAAAAAAAAAAAAAAGGUACAAGGAGCCUUCAUUUUGUAGAGAUAUAUUUCAGGAUGGUUUUGUACUUAAUGAAAUUGCAGCUGGUGGCCAGUUUUGCCUCUUGGAAUCAUACUGUGGAUUUUUAGGAAGCCUUUCAGAUGCCUUAGCAUCAUGGAAUCAUUAGGGUUGGAAAAGACCUCUAAAAGCACUUAGUCCAACCCAU